UUCGGUGUUGUUCGGUUUUUCUGAUUGGUUGCAAUAGGUUCUGACGCCGUUAAUCGAUUGAUAAGACGUUUCUUGCAGGGCUAUCGAUCGGUCCUACGGUGAUUUUUGUCCGUUUUUCACUUUUCUUUCAUUUUUUUGGUAUUUUGUGUGCAAAAUCUUUAUUUUUUUUUAAGGGUGUUUGCAUGUUUGAUCGGGAUAUUGUGCUGAAGUGUUUAUGUGGAACCCACGGUGGCCAAAAAAUUAAUGUUUCUUUUUUACUUUUCUACGUUCCAUUUUUU
rnacentral:lncRNA from 1 species